CGCCGCGUGAGUGAAGAAGGGUUUCGGCUCGUAAAACUCUGUUGUUAAAGAAGAACAUAUCUGAGAGUAACUGUUCAGGUAUUGACGGUAUUUAACCAGAAAGCCACGGCUAACUACGUGCCAGCAGCCGCGGUAAUACGUAGGUGGCAAGCGUUGUCCGGAUUUAUUGGGCGUAAAGCGAGCGCAGGCGGUUUUUUAAGUCUGAUGUGAAAGCCUUCGGCUCAACCGAAGAAGUGCAUCGGAAACUGGGAAACUUGAGUGCAGAAGAGGACAGUGGAACUCCAUGUGUAGCGGUGAAAUGCGUAGAUAUAUGGAAGAACACCAGUGGCGAAGGCGGCUGUCUGGUCUGUAACUGACGCUGAGGCUCGAAAGUAUGGGUAGCAAACAGGAUUAGAUACCCUGGUAGUCCAUACCGUAAACGAUGAAUGCUAAGUGUUGGAGGGUUUCCGCCCUUCAGUGCUGCAGCUAACGCAUUAAGCAUUCCGCCUGGGGAGUACGGCCGCAAGGCUGAAACUCAAAGGAAUUGACGGGGGCCCGCACAAGCGGUGGAGCAUGUGGUUUAAUUCGAAGCUACGCGAAGAACCUUACCAGGUCUUGACAUACUAUGCAAAUCUAAGAGAUUAGACG
rnacentral:rRNA from 2 species